rnacentral:sRNA from 1 species
UCUGUGAGUUCUGCAGAAGAAGAAGAAAGAAAACAGAUAAAGAAGAAGAAGAAAGUUGAAG